UCUUAGUUCGUGGAGUGAUCUGUCUGCUUAAUUGCGUUUCAAAUUUUUAACCGAGGACCGGGUUUUGGUUUGGCUAGUGGUCCUACGAUGACUGUGAACUGUCAUGUCUUCGGAUGUACGACUAUCGGUCUAGGAUCACAUGACUUGCCCCUGGGACUCUUUUGAACGCAACGGACGUGAUUGCAACCCCUUGUUGAGAUUAGAGAUAGUCUCGAUAUUCACUGGCCAAACUGGCUGCUUUAUGCAGUCUUGUUGAAUGGUGGAUAAACUCGGGGGACUGCUGACUAUAACCAUUUCUCAAAACAGAGGAAGGUUGCGGCAAUAACAGGUCUGUGAUGCCCUCAGAUGUCCCGGGCUGCACACGUGCUACAAUGAGUGGCGCAAUGUGCUAAUGUUUUAAGGGAUAAGCGUGCGGCCAGUAGAACGUCGGCAAUUGCCCUGGCGUCUUCUACCGCACGAUUAUCAGCCUUCCCUUAACAGGGCGGGCAACCUUUUCAAAAUACCGGUUUGAUGUUAAAGUAUAGAGUCGUUUUUUUUGGAUGGUGGUU
rnacentral:rRNA from 1 species